CCCAGAAAGGAACUUCCCUGCAGGGCAUUAGCUGAGCUGUAGAGGUUGCUCAGGAUGCACCCAGCACAGGAUCCAGCUCUGGGGCAGGUGCACAGGAGGUUGGGGAGGAGUUUUCUCUCAGGGAUUGAAUAUUCCUUAUUUCAAAGCAAUAAUGACAUAAAAUUUAAAUAAGAAUUUAGCAAGUACUGAUGUGUCUUUAGUAUUCUCUUGCAUACACAGCCGUUACCUAAUGCAAACCAUAUUUAAAAGAAGAAAUGUCUAGGCCUUUCAAAUGUAUCUAUCGUUAGGAAUUGAGGGGUGGUUUUAUUAAUUCAUUGGGUGUUACAUUCGGGAGACACACUCAUCCCAGAAGUUAAGAUGUGCAGAGGGCAAGGCCCAGGAAAGUUCAGGUUGUCAGUGUGCCAUGUGAAAAAGGAAUCACAUUGAGGACAAUGUCCUGUGAGAUUCUGGUUUUCUGUAAGAGGAGUUCUGUCUUCAUGGACUUCUAAGCAUGUCAGAUGACAAAUAUCAUUAAACAAGUUCAGGUCAUGGAGCUCAGCAUCCCACUGUGGAGUGGGCCGUGUGUCACCUAUCUUCUUCCGCAGGGUGGGGUGGCUUGAGCUAUGAAAUACCUGCCUCAUGAAUAUGCAAAUGCACUGGUGUCUACCGAGGUAAAUACAGAUCUGUCCUUGCCCAGAGAGCAUCACACAACAACCACAUCCCUCCCCUACAGAAGCCCCCAGAGCACAGCACCUCACCAUGGACUGGACCUGGAGGCUCCUCCUCUUGGUGGCAGCAGCUACAGGCGCCCACUCUGAGGUACAGCUGGUGCAGUCUGGGGCUGAGGUGAAGAAGCCUGGGGCCUCCGUGAAGGUCUCCUGCAAGGCUUCUGGAUACACCUUCACCGACUACUACCUGCACUGGGUGCGACAGGCUCCUGGAAAAGGGCUUGAGUGGAUGGGACGUGUUGAUCCUGAAGAUGGUGAAGCAAUAUACGCACAGAAAUUCCAGGACAGAGUCACCAUCACCGCGGACACGUCUACAGACACAGCCUACAUGGAGCUGAGCAGCCUGAGAUCUGAGGACACGGCCAUGUAUUACUGUGCGAGAGGCACAGUGUGAAAACCACAUCCUGAGAGUGUCACAAACCCUGAGGGAGGAGGCAGCUGUGCUGGGGCUGUGAAGAUGACAGGAUUUAUGAGGUCUAAAUUAUUUAGAAGAUGGGUUAAGUCACUGAGUAAAAGUAGAAAUAGAAAGAUAUAUACAUUCCAAUCAUAUAGGAUAUAAUGUUUUCAACUUUCACCCUAUAAGUAACAUUCACAGAGUGGGAAAGGCAGCCAUCAAUCAGGCUGAUGCAAACAUUCCUUUGUGAGGACAUAAAUUUUAAAAUCGAAUGGAUAAAUAAUUUGGAGCAGGAUUGCUUGAUCACAUGGUAAGACUAAACAUAAUUUCUAAAAAGUGGCCGUCAUUUCUACCAAAAUGUCUUUGCCAGUCCUUUUGCAUUAAAUUUAUUUUAAAACAUUUUUAGGAUUACAGCAAAUUUGACUAGAAUAAACAGAGUUCCCACAUACUCCCGCCCAAGACACGCACAGCCUUCUCUGUGAUCAACACCCUGCACUGAAGUAAUAAAUAACUUGCAACAGAUGAACCCACAUGGACACAUUAAUUGUCUCCUUUUCUGGUGGUCCCUGGUGUAACAAGCCUAAGCUAUCUUGAAGCACCCUGGGUUCUUCCAGUGCAUUACAUGAAAUGAUGCCAGGUAGAGGGAAAGUGAGUGGGGACGUUCCUCCUUUCACUGCUUCCUCAAGAAUCCAUAAAAUGUAGAUUGAUUUAGAGCUCAUCUGACUCCUGGUUUUCUAUGCCCCUACCAAGAGGAUAAGGCCUCCAGGCAUUUAUAGCAGGGGUCCCCAGCCCCUAGGCAGUGAACCAGUUACCGGUCAGCAGCCUGAGAGAAGGCAGGUUGCACAGCAGGAGGUGAGCGGUGGGUGAGCAUCACUGCCUGAGCUCCGCCUCCUGUCAGAUCAGCUGCGCAUUAGAUUACCCUAGGAGCCGAAUUCUAGUGUGAACUGUGCAUGUGAGGGAUCUAGGCUGCACGCUGUCUAUGGGAACCCAAUGUCUGAUGAUUGCAGGUGGAGCAGGUUCAUUCCGUAACCACCUGCCUCCAUUAUCCAUGGAAAAAUUGUCAUCCACAAAAUCAUUCCCUGGUGCCAAAAAGAUUGGGACUGCUGGAGUAGAGGCAGGUCUGUGCAACUAAAA